rnacentral:rRNA from 1 species
CCUACGGGAGGCAGCAGUGGGGAAUAUUGGGCAAUGGAGGAAACUCUGACCCAGCAACGCCGCGUGAAUGAUGAAGGUCUUCGGAUUGUAAAGUUCUUUUCUAAGGGAAGAAGAAAGUGACGGUACCUUAGGAAUACGCCUCGGCUAACUACGUGCCGGCAGCCGCGGUAAUACGUAGGAGGCGAGCGUUAUCCGGAUUUAUUGGGUUGAAAGGGUGCGUAGGCGGGCCUUCAGGCCGGCGGUAAAAUUGCGGGGCUCAACCCCGCCGAGCCGGCGGAACCGGGGGCCUUGAGUACCGGAGAAGUACGCGGAAUGCGUGGUGUAGCGGUGAAAUGCAGAGAUAUCACGCAGAACCCCGAUUGCGAAGGCAGCGUACCGGCCGGUCACUGACGCUGAGGCACGAAAGCGCGGGUAUCGAACAGGAUUAGAUACCCCAGUAGUC